GAUUAAUUAGUUUAUGGAAAACCGGCGUUUUGAAAACGCCUAAAAAGAGAUACUUACUCUUAUUAAUCG
rnacentral:tRNA from 1 species